AUUGAACGCUGGCGGCAUGCCUUACACAUGCAAGUCGAACGGUAACAGGUUAAGCUGACGAGUGGCGAACGGGUGAGUAAUGUAUCGGAACGUGCCCAGUCGUGGGGGAUAACUGCUCGAAAGAGCAGCUAAUACCGCAUACGACCUGAGGGUGAAAGCGGGGGAUCGCAAGACCUCGCGCGAUUGGAGCGGCCGAUAUCAGAUUAGGUAGUUGGUGAGGUAAAGGCUCACCAAGCCGACGAUCUGUAGCUGGUCUGAGAGGACGACCAGCCACACUGGGACGGAGACACGGCCCAGAUUCCGACGGGAGGCAGCAGUGGGGAAUUUUGGACAAUGGGCGCAAGCCUGAUCCAGCCAUGCCGCGUGCGGGAAGAAGGCCUUCGGGUUGUAAACCGCUUUUGUCAGGGAAGAAAAGGUUCUGGCUAAUACCUGGGACUCAUGACGGUACCUGAAGAAUAAGCACCGGCUAACUACGUGCCAGCAGCCGCCGUAACAC
rnacentral:rRNA from 1 species